rnacentral:lncRNA from 1 species
GCUAAAUUGCUGAGGCUGACCUUGAACUUGUGAUCCUCCUGGGUCAGCCUCUGGAGUUGCUGGGAUUACAGGUGCGCACCACCGUGCCUGUCCUGAACAUGUGUAUCUUGUACAACGCUAUAAAUAUGUGUUUAUCUUUCCUAGUCUCUAAGCAUGUUCGGCAAUUGUUACUUGAAGAAAGUUCUGCAAGAUUUAUUUUUUUGGCUUUAGACAGAAUAACCCCAUAUGUUUGCUUAUUUGUGCUGGUCAUUUUAAUAACUUCAAGGAAUGUGCCUGAGCUGGGUGCGGUGGCACCUCCCUUUAAUCCCAGCAACUCAGAAGACUGACGCAGGAGGCCAGCCCGCGCAAUUUAGUGAGACUCUCAGGAACUUAGCGAGACCCUGUCAUGAUUUAAAGGGCUGGGACGUGAUAGCACACCCCUAGGUUUGGUCCAUAGUACCCAGUUGGCGGAGGGUGUGUGUGUCUGUUUCACAGAUAAGGGAGCCAGAGUGACUUUCUCAAGGACACACAGAUAGUGAAUGGUCCCAGGAGGAUGAGACCCCAAACAGAACCCAUGCUCCCAACUCCUGGCUGUGACAAUCACCUGUUCCCUUAAUUGAGUCCCUGGGAGGAUGGGGCAGGGUUAGUGAGGCAGAGGGUCAGGGUGUGUAAUCAGCUGCCCCUCAUUCUCUGAGCCUUCUCACCAAGGCUCUCUCUAAUCUCACCGUCCCCACCAGGGGGAGGGACAAUGCAGGGCUCCAGUUCUGCAUGAGAAAGGUCUGGGUGACUGUCCAGCUGAUGGUUGUGCCUUGGUCCCCAAGCAUCCCCCUGGGAACGAAGGGUCAUUUCUGCAGUCAGGCUGCGAAGCUUAGCUAGGGGAGGCUGGUCCUGAGCUCGCCCUGUGGACUGGGGGCCACUGGAAGGUCCAGAGCAGUGGGAGGUACGGCCAGCCCUGUGGGUGAGGAUGGCUGGAGUAGCCCGAGGAACAGGGAAGGCCCCGGAUGAGUCCAUCUUCUUAGUCACUUGACAGGGUGCAGGUGCAGCGCUAAUCUCCAGGGAUGCAGGGAAGUGUACCAAGUGGGGCUGAGGCUGCGGGAGCCGCUUCCAAUACUGUGUGAAACUCUGGAAGAGCAGAGCAGGCCUCCUGAACACUCGUAGAAGAGUCUGGAAGGCUGUCCCUAGGAGGGGCCAUCUGUCCCUUCUCCCCUCUGGGCCUCUGUCUGCACAUUCCCUUUGCCGGGUUCACUGGACCUUCCUCUCAGUCACCUCGCCCUCGCCUGUCUUGGCCCCCUUUGAAUGGCUGCCCAUGUGUCUUGGUCAGGACUGGCUGUCAGUUUAGAUGUCCCUCUGUCCCUGACUACUUCUUCC